UACUUAAUCGUUCUUGAUGAUGUGUGGACGCCAGCAGCAUGGAAGUAUCUGAAUGAGUAUUUUCCCAAGAAUGAAAAACAAAGCAGAAUCAUAGUUACUACACGCACUCACGAUGUUGCAAGAAACUGCUCCACCCAUGACCAAAUCUAUGAGAUGAAGCACUUGGAGCCGGAAGAUUCAGAGAAGCUAUUCUUCAGGAUAGUGUUUGAGUCCGACGAAUGUCCGGACAGACUGCAGGAAGUCUCCACAGCUAUAUUAAAAAAGUGCAAUGGUUUGCCUCUAGUCAUAGUAAGCAUAGGUCGUAUGCUUGCUCAGAGGGAAAACAAGAUACCCGCAGAUUGGCAAAAGGUAUGUCGUAGGCUGGGUCCUGAACUAGAGACAAACCCCACUUUAGAGGCAAUGGGCCGGAUACUUACCCUUAGCUACAAUGACCUGCCCUACAAUUUGAAAGCAUGCUUCUUGUACCUGUGUGCUUUCCCCGAGGAUUAUGAGAUCAAAAGAGGGCCUCUGAUUAGGCGCUGGGCAGCCGAAGGCUUCAUUGCUGCCAUGCGUGGGCUGAGUUUGGAAGAGAUUGGUCAGAAUUAUUUCGACGAGUUCAUCAGUAGAAGCCUGGUCACCCCUGGAGUGAUUUCAGACACCGGCAAGGUCAAGAGCUGCAAGAUUCAUGACAUAAUGAUGGAAGUUAUAACCUCCAAAUCAGUCCAAGAAAACUUCAUGUCGUUCCUAGGGAGUUCAGAAGACAACAUUACAGCUGGCCAUGACAAGAUCCGGCGGCUCUCCAUCCAUCCCGGUGGCACCAUGGAGAAUAAAGGCUUCACCAGUCAAUACUUGACCCAUACCCGUUCUUUGACAAUUAUUGGCAGCACUCAAAAACCAGCAGCCAUCACUUUUUCAGGCUUUACUCUUUUAAGGGUUCUAGACCUCGAAGGAUGUCUAUGGUUAAGCAAUCAAGAUUUGAAGGACAUUUGCAAACUGUCUUUGCUGAGCUACCUGAGUCUUAGAAGCACAUCCAUAUCCGAAGUUCCAAAUGCAGUAGGGAAACUGAAAGAAUUGGUGACAUUGGAUGUAAGGGGAACAUCUGUGGCUGAAUUUCCCAGAGGCAUCACUAAGCUCCAAAAUCUGAAGCACCUAAUGACAGGCAGUUAUCAGUACUAUACAAGGUCACGAAGUGUUAAGCAUCUGUUAACUGGAGUGAAGCUACCUCGCGGAUUACAGAAUAUGUGUGCCCUGCAGAGGAUUUCUACCAUAGAUAUCAACAAAAGCUUCCGUUCAAUGGAUGAGCUGGGGGACUUGUCUCAGUUAACCAGGCUUUACGUGGUCAGCCAUGAGGCAGUGGAGGAUACAAGCAGGUGGGAGACCUUCGUCAAGUCCUUGAAUAAGCUAAGCAGCUCCCUUCGAUACCUAUCGAUUCAGCGAUUAAAACUAGCAUGUCAGCCCACAAAUGAUUAUAUAUCCCCACCUCUCUUUCUUCAC
rnacentral:rRNA from 1 species